GAUGAACGCUGGCGGCGUGCCUAAUACAUGCAAGUCGAACGAAGAUCUAGCUUGCUAGAUCUUAGUGGCGAACGGGUGAGUAAUACAUAAAUAAUCUGCCCAUAUGACUGGGAUAACUAUUGGAAACGAUAGCUAAUACCGGAUAGGUUGAUUGGAGGCAUCUCUGAUUAAUUAAAGUAGGAUUUCUACACAAAUGGAUGAGUUUAUGGCGCAUUAGUUAGUUGGUGGGGUAACGGCCUACCAAGACGAUGAUGCGUAGCCGACCUGAGAGGGUGACCGGCCACACUGGGACUGAGUCACGGCCCAGACUCCGACGGGAGGCAGCAGUAGGGAAUUUUCGGCAAUGGGCGCAAGCCUGACCGAGCAACGCCGCGUGAGUGAUUAAGGCCUUCGGGUUGUAAAGCUCUGUUGUAAGGGAAGAACAUUCAGGAUAGGAAAUGAUCUUGAACUGACGGUACCUUACCAGAAAGCCACGGCUAACUACGUGCCAGCCGCCGCGGUAAUAC
rnacentral:rRNA from 1 species